ACGGAAGGCAGCAGUGGGGAAUAUUGCACAAUGGGGGAAACCCUGAUGCAGCGACGCCGCGUGAGUGAAGAAGUAUUUCGGUAUGCAAAGCUCUAUCAGCAGGAAAGAAAAUGACGGUACCUGACUAAGAAGCCCCGGCUAACUACGUGCCAGCAGCCGCGGUAAUACGUAGGGGGCAAGCGUUAUCCGGAUUUACUGGGUGUAAAGGGAGCGUAGACGGCUUUGCAAGUCUGAAGUGAAAGCCCGGGGCUCAACCCCGGAACUGCUUUGGAAACUGUUAAGCUAGAGUGCAGGAGAGGUAAGUGGAAUUCCUAGUGUAGCGGUGAAAUGCGUAGAUAUUAGGAGGAACACCAGUGGCGAAGGCGGCUUACUGGACUGUAACUGACGUUGAGGCUCGAAGGCGUGGGGAGCAAACAGGAUUAGAUACCCUGGUA
rnacentral:rRNA from 1 species